GCUCGCAGGCACGCGCUGUGCGCUGUGCCCGCGGCCCUCCGAGGGCGGGCCUCGCCGCUCCCCGCCGGGACCCCUCCGGCGACAGGCCCGCGGCGGGGACGUUACUGGGCACAGCCCUCCCUCUCGGAGGGGCUUCGCCAGCCCGUCGGGGAGCGGCCGCUGCCAGCCCGGGGACAAGCAGGGAAAACUGCGCCCUUCGCCCCGAGGGCAGCGCCCCGCCAAUCAGCGACGGGCAUCGCCUUAGCAACAGGGCAACAAACCGCGGCCGGCCAAUCAGGGCGCGGCGGGGGGCGCGGCCGGGCCGAGGCUCAGCGCUCGGGGCGCUCAUUGAAACGCGGCCGGCGGCGGCAGCUCCGCGGGGCGCGCGCUCAUGCCACGGGCGGCUCCUGCGUGUCCGCACGUUCCUGGCACCCAGGAAGUUUCGCUCGGGCGAGUGAUUUUUUUUUGAGGCAGCAGCGACAGGAGAAGGGAAGGAGCCGCAAGUAAGUCACCUCGUUAGUGAGGUGUGCGCGAGGCAUUAAUUAAAGAAUAAAUAAAUAAAGCCCCCAGCUCUGCUACUGAGUUAAGUUCAAGAAUGGUCGGUGAUGGGCUCAGUGCCGCCCAGAGCUGUUCAAAAAAUUACAUUUUUUUUCUUCCCCGAAAAAAGGAGAAAUACCGCAUCGCUGCAGUGCAUAUGAUGCAUAUUUAAGAAAAAGAAAAGGGUGUUAUUCUUUCAAGUUUUGAAGUGAAGCCACUGGUAGUAGUUUCAGUAAGAGAAUUUUGCCCUGCUACUAGGUGCAAAAGACAACUUCUAGCUGAGACAAGCUUUGCACAAGUCCUGACUCAAUCUGGUGGGACUCUGCCUGUGAGACGAGAUGGAACACUUGCUGCUCAAGCACCAUGAAGCUACUGGGUUGAAUUUGUUUGACACAGACGAGGACACAGAGUCAGACCUGUACAUCAUUAAUUCAGCCACCAGCAGCUAACUCUGCCCCUGCAUUCAACUAGCUCUGAUCACUGAGCUCACUGAUCACAAUUAAAAAGGUUUAUUUUGAAAAA